rnacentral:rRNA from 1 species
UACAGAGGGUGCUAGCGUUGUUCGGAAUCAUUGGGCGUAAAGGGCGUGUAGGCGGUUUGUUAAGUCAGGUGUGAAAUCCCUCGGCUCAACCGGGGAACGACGCAUGAAACUGGCAAGCUAGAGUACCAAAGAGGGGGGUGGAAUUCCCGGUGUAGCGGUGGAAUGCGCAGAUAUCAGGAGGAACACCGGUGGCGAAGGCGGGUCUCUGGGCAGUAACUGACGCUGAGGUGCGAAAGCGUGGGGAGCAAACAGG